rnacentral:rRNA from 1 species
ACUCCUACGGGAGGCAGCAGUAGGAAUCUUCCGCAAUGGACGAAAGUCUGACGGAGCAACGCCGCGUGAGUGAUGAAGGUUUCGGAUCGUAAACUCUGUUGUUAGGGAAGAACAAGUACCGGAGUAACUGCCGGUACCUUGAACGGUACCUAACCAGAAAGCCACGGCUAACUACGUGCCAGCAGCCGCGGUAAUACGUAGGUGGCAAGCGUUGUCCGGAAUUAUUGGGCGUAAAGCGCGCGCAGGUGGUUUCUUAAGUCUGAUGUG